UACGUAGGGUGCGAGCGUUAAUCGGAAUUACUGGGCGUAAAGCGUGCGCAGGCGGUUUUGUAAGCCAGAUGUGAAAUCCCCGGGCUUAACCUGGGAAUGGCAUUUGGGACUGCAAGGCUGGAGUGCGGCAGAGGAGACUGGAAUUCCUGGUGUAGCAGUGAAAUGCGUAGAUAUCAGGAGGAACACCGGUGGCGAAGGCGGCUUUCUGGACACUUACUGACGCUGAGACGCGAAAGCGUGGGGAGCAAACAGG
rnacentral:rRNA from 1 species